rnacentral:tRNA from 1 species
AAUCUAGUGGUGUAGCCGGAACACAUAGUAAUUUCAUUACUAAAUCGCCUAACAGCCUAAAUUU